AGGAUGAACGUUGGCGGCGUGCCUUAGGCAUGCAAGUCGAGCGAAUGUAAUUGAGAGCUUGCUUUCGAUUACGUUAGCGGCGAACGGGUGCGUAACAAGUAGAUAACAUGCCUUAGAGAUCGGGAUAGCCCGGGGAAACUCGGAGUAAUACCGGAGAUGUAGAAAUACCAAAGCAGCAAUGCGCUCUAAGAUUGGUCUGCUCACUAUCAGCUUGUUGGUGAGGUAAUGGCUCACCAAGGCUAUGACGGUUAGCUGGUCUGAGAGGAUGAUCAGCCACAUGCGAACUGCGACACGGUCGUGACACCUACGGGUGGCAGCAACUAGGAAUCUUGCACAAUGGGGGAAACCCUGAUGCAGCGACGCCGCGUGGAGGAAGAAGGUCGAAAGAUUGUAACUUCUUUUGUAUGGGAACAAAUGAGUGUACCAUACGAAUAAGCUACUGCUAACUUCGCGCCAGCAGCCG
rnacentral:rRNA from 1 species